ACCCUUGUGGAGGAGGACGCCGAAGGUGGGGCUAAUGACUGGGGUGAAGUCGUAACAAGGUAGCCGUACCGGAAGGUGCGGCUGGAUCACCUCCUAACAGGGAGACAACAAAAUGUUUAAUAUUAAUUUUGUCACCUUAGGUCGAUCGGUAUCUCACAUUCUUAAUUUAUUAAGAAUUUUAUUUCCUAAGUUUUUUCUAGGUCACACCCAUUACUUUUCCUGGGCCAUUAGCUCAGGUGGUUAGAGCGCACCCCUGAUAAGGGUGAGGUCCCUGGUUCAAGUCCAGGAUGGCCCAUAUCUCUGUGUUGGGGGUAUAGCUCAGUUGGUAGAGCGCCUGCUUUGCAAGCAGGAUGUCAGCGGUUCGAGUCCGCUUACCUCCACUGAUCACCACCUCUUCCAUGAAUUUAUAGAAAGGAAUUGUUUUGAGUUGUGAUCAAAUUCUGAACGAAUCUAGCUUCCUAAUCAAACAUAUUAAGAUGCUGGACUCAUUGAAUUAAAUUCAUUGUUUUCAGAGAACCUUGACAACUGCAUAGAUUAUUUUUAAAGACAAUAAGCAUCUUUAAUGAUGCAGAUUUAUUAUUUGUGCGAAUGCAUUAAUAACAAUUCUAUUAAGCUGAUGCUUCAAUUUUUGAAGUUAUUGGUCAAGCUACAAAGGGCUCACGGAGGAUACCUAGGCACACAGAGGCGA
rnacentral:misc_RNA from 1 species